AUAUCAUUAGUAAUGAUGAAUACCAGUUUUGGUGACAAUAGGUGCUUUGAUUCAUUAUCCAAUAAUCACGGCGUAUCUUUUGCAGCACAAGAUUCUCUUCCCAUGGGAGAGAGGGUGGAAAAGCUUCACAUGCUUCAAAGCAUGAUGUCAAGAUACGAGUAGAAUGAUCAUGAGAAAUUUCUUUCAACUUGGGAAGCUCAAAUACGUACAAGGAGAAUGAGGAUAAUGAGAUACACCAUGUAGAGAGGGUAAUGCAAUUAUUGAAUCUAAAAGACCGGUUUGCUUUCUGAGGCCGUAGGAGAGGGAGUUUCGCUGAAGAGGAAGAGGAAGAGGAAGAGGACAUUAGUGAACUCAAAAUUUUGUACAAGUCAUCCUCAGGGACCAAACUAAUCUAACCAAUCAUAUUCUUGUCAACUUGGCUACCGAAACAUGGAAUUCAAUGAGACUGCGAUUGUAGAAGCAAACUACUACCCGAUGACCAUAAAAGUCUCAUCUUGUAAAAUUAACAAUAAUCUAGCAAAACAACCAAG
rnacentral:lncRNA from 1 species